rnacentral:rRNA from 1 species
UACGUAGGUGGCAAGCGUUGUCCGGAUUUAUUGGGCGUAAAGCGCUCGCAGGUGGUCCGAUGCGUCGUGCGUGAAAGACCCCGGCUCAACUGGGGAGUGUCGUGCGAUACGGUCGGACUGGAGGCCAGUAGGGGGAUGCGGAAUUCCGGGUGUAGUGGUGGAAUGCGUAGAGAUCCGGAGGAACACCAGCGGCGAAGGCGGCAUCCUGGACCAACACUGACGCUGAGGAGCGAAAGCCAGGGGAGCAAACGGG